rnacentral:tRNA from 1 species
CAAAAUGUAGCUAAAAUAGUAAAGCAUCUCCCUUACACUGAGAAGAUAUCCGUGCAAUUCGGAUCAUUUUGA